rnacentral:rRNA from 1 species
GUGACGGUACCUGCAGAAGAAGCGCCGGCUAACUACGUGCCAGCAGCCGCGGUAAUACGUAGGGCGCAAGCGUUAUCCGGAAUUAUUGGGCGUAAAGAGCUCGUAGGCGGUUUGUCGCGUCUGCCGUGAAAGUCCGGGGCUCAACUCCGGAUCUGCGGUGGGUACGGGCAGACUAGAGUGAUGUAGGGGAGACUGGAAUUCCUGGUGUAGCGGUGAAAUGCGCAGAUAUCAGGAGGAACACCGAUGGCGAAGGCAGGUCUCUGGGCAUUAACUGACGCUGAGGAGCGAAAGCAUGGGGAGCGAACAGGAUUAGAUACCCUGGUAGUCCAUGCCGUAAACGUUGGGCACUAGGUGUGGGGGACAUUCCACGUUUUCCGCGCCGUAGCUAACGCAUUAAGUGCCCCGCCUGGGGAGUACGGCCGCAAGGCUAAAACUCAAAGGAAUUGACGGGGGCCCGCACAAGCGGCGGAGCAUGCGGAUUAAUUCGAUGCAACGCGAAGAACCUUACCAAGGCUUGACAUGAACCGGAAAUACCUGGAGACAGGUGCCCCGCUUGCGGUCGGUUUACAGGUGGUGCAUGGUUGUCGUCAGCUCGUGUCGUGAGAUGUUGGGUUAAGUCCCGCAACGAGCGCAACCCUCGUUCUAUGUUGCCAGCACGUGAUGGUGGGGACUCAUAGGAGACUGCCGGGGUCAACUCGGAGGAAGGUGGGGACGACGUCAAAUCAUCAUGCCCCUUAUGUCUUGGGCUUCACGCAUGCUACAAUGGCCGGUACAAAGGGUUGCGAUACUGUGAGGUGGAGCUAAUCCCAAAAAGCCGGUCUCAGUUCGGAUUGGGGUCUGCAACUCGACCCCAUGAAGUCGGAGUCGCUAGUAAUCGCAGAUCAGCAACGCUGCGGUGAAUACGUUCCCGGGCCUUGUACACACCGCCCGUCAAGUCACGAAAGUUGGUAACACCCGAAGC